UCUAUAGUCCGACGACCUUGAGUGGC
rnacentral:sRNA from 1 species